UGUAACUGGACAAAAGCUAUUUCAAACACUGAAGUGUUUUUGUAUGUUAACCCAUUUUAUCAAUAGUAGUGGUAAACAUAGCGAGCAUAUCAACAUUAGCAGGCUAGAUACAUUUAAAAAAAAAAUGUUAGUAAUUUAAUACGUGCUCUUAUCCAGAGCGACUUACAGUUGAGCACAUACAUUUUAUAACUUUUCCCCGUACUGGUCGCGGAGGGAAUCGAACCUAUAACACUGGCCUUGCAAGCACCAAGUGCUACCAACUGAACCAUUUGGGACAAAUCCAUUUUGUAACAAUACCAGAAAUGCUGACAAUUGUCGUGGUAAUUAUUCUAAUCAAAGGAGAGACUUUUAGAUUUCUUCAAAACCAUCAAACUUUAUUAAUAAUGACUGCAGUAAUGGAGCGUUAACGGUCACGCUAUGUUGUAGAGUUACCAUCACUCAUUCAAAUAUCUUUAUGUACAUAUUCUUCAUCCCUUUACGCUUGUGUGUAUAAGGUAGUUGUUGUGAAUUGUUAGGUUAGAUUACUCGUUGGUUAUUACUGCAUUGUCAGAACUAGAAGCACAAGCAUUUCGCUACAUCUGCUAACCAUGUGUAUGUGACAAAUAAAAUUUGAUUUGAUUUGUAACAGAGAAAAGAGCCAGGUGCUAAUCCUAAAGCACCAAAGAAGGCUUCAUCUUCAACCACCAGAAUCAGGCAACAAACAAGCCGAUAACCACCUGGUUAUCUUAAAGAUUAUGUGGUGGAGUUUCCCCCACCAAAGCCCACCGGCAAGCCCACCGGGGCUCAAAGCGGGGAUGGAUCAACUGUACCUUCCAGCUAUCAACCAUCCCGUCCAAGCCAAGGACCGGAAACUGCUUUGGAACAGGGGAGUGGUCUACGGGAAGAACCAAAGGAAGAGGACAUUUCUAAGUGACCCCAAACCUUUGAAAGGAAGUGUAUAUACUGGGCGGUGUCAGAGGAAAGCCCAUAAAAUUGUCAAAGACUCCAGUGACCCACAGCAAGCAGUACCAGAGCACCAAGUCUAGGACCAAAAAGCUCCUUAACAGCUUCUACCCCCAAGCCAUAAGACUGCUGAACAAUUAAUCAAAUGGCCACCAGACUAUUACAUUGACCCCCGGUCGGCCUCCAUUUGUUUUGUACACUGCUGCUACUCGCUGUUUAUUAUCUAUGCAUAGUCACUUCCCCCCUACCUACAUGUACAAAUGACCUCUAACAUGUACCCCAGUACACUGACUUGGUACCGGUACCCCCUGUAUAUAGCCUCGUUAUUGUUAUGUUAUUGUGUUACUUUUUAUUAUUUUUUAGUUUAGUUUAUUUGGUAAAUAUUUUCUCAACUCUUCUUAAAACUGCACUGUUGGAUAAGGGCUUGUAUGUAAGCAUUUCACGGUAAGGUCUACACUUGUUGUAUUCUUCAAUCAGUGUAGAUGAUGGGGAGACAGGUUUAAGAAUGAUUUUUAAGCCUUGAUACAAUUGAGACAUGGAUUUUGAACGAGACAACAGCAGCACUGUGCCAUGGUUGUAGGUGCCAGGCACACCCGGUUGUGUCAAAAACUGCACCGCUGCUGUGUUUUUUACACUCAACAGUUUCCAGUGUGUAUCAAGAAUGGUCCACCACCCAAAGGACAUCCAGCCAACUUGACACAACUGUGUGAAGUAUUGGAGUCAACAUGGGCCAGCAUCCCUGUGGAACGCUUUCGACACCUUGUAGAGUCCGUGCCUCGGUACUGGUACUCCUUGUAUUUAGCCUUGUUAUUGCUGUUUUAUUAUGUUAAUAUUUCAUUUUUAUUUAUUUAGCUAAGUUCUCUUACUUUUUUACUCUGCAUUGUUGGGAAAGGACUCGUAAGCAUUUCCCGGUAAAGCAUUUAAUCGCUGCAUGUGAUGAAUACAAUUUUAUUGAUUAUCAUUCAUUUAUAAGUCCAAAAAUUGAUGUAGCAACUGCAGUUUGUAGUGGAAGUGUUUUUUUGUGUGUGUUGAAUUUAACUGCUAAUUUGCUAUGUGAGGCCUAUUUGAUAGAAUAUACUGUAAUGAAACAGCAGGGAGCAGGUCUCGAACCCUCGACGUUCGAGCCCGAGGUCCGGCGCGCUAUCGACUGUGCCUCAAAAGCACUAAUUCGCUUGACUUUGAUAUGUCACGUAACUAUUUAGUCUUUGCUUGCCCUUGAAAGGUCGAGGUAUGUAGAAAAGUAUAUUCUUGCCGGAUUGCCUACAUGUCCUUUCAACUUUACGGAGACAACCCUACCAAAUAAAGUAGCCUAUGGCGAUAUCAAAACCUA